rnacentral:rRNA from 1 species
UACGGAGGGGCUAGCGUUAUUCGGAAUUACUGGGCGUAAAGCGUGCGCAGGCGGUUGUGAUAAGACAGGUGUGAAAUCCCCGGGCUUAACCUGGGAACUGCAUUUGUGACUGCAUUGCUGGAGUGCGGCAGAGGGGGAUGGAAUUCCGCGUGUAGCAGUGAAAUGCGUAGAUAUGCGGAGGAACACCGAUGGCGAAGGCAAUCCCCUGGGCCUGCACUGACGCUCAUGCACGAAAGCGUGGGGAGCAAACAGG